rnacentral:rRNA from 1 species
UAAUCUCACUUCGGUGAGAACGAGUGGCGAACGGCUGAGUAACACGUUGGUACCUACCCUAUACUCAGGGAUAACCCACCGAAAGGUGGACUAAUACCGGAUAGUCCCGAAAGGGUAAAGAUUUAUCGGUAUAGGAGGGGCCUGCGGCCUAUCAGUUAGUUGGUGAGGUAAUGGCUCACCAAGACUAUGACAGGUAGCUGAUGUGAGAGCAUGAUCAGCCAGAAUGGGACUGAGACACGGCCCAUACUCC